GGCGAGGUGGUGGAGCGGUCUAACACGCUGGCUUAAGGAUAUCCAGGAUCCUAAUACGCCAGUCCUUCGGGGCGCGGGUUCGAAUCCCGUCCUCGUCA